UGAGAGCAGAUGUCUCUAGGGAGGCCUAAGUUAAGGGCCUUAGAUGAGAAAAGCCGAGUUGGACAAGGUCCAUGAAGACUGGCUAAUGUUGAAUGCAGGCAGAUAUGUGCUAUAAAAGGUGACAAACUAAGGUUUCGGUCAUAAUUAGCAGCAGUAGCCUCUAUAUUAUGCUGACUCAUGGAUAAAUUUUACGAAACAAGGGGUUGCAGUAAGUCAAAUGAAUGACGGAAGAAAAGAAGGAAAGAAAUAAACAGAUUGUUGUAACUUA